UGACGUCUCUGAGCUGUCUGACGUUAGCCCGACUGUCAUUAUCUUGACUGUGUUGAACGUUGUUUUCUGUGCGGCUGUGGUCGUCCUGGUGUGGCUGGUUUACAGCUACAGGAAGAAUCAACAUAAAGAAGCAGAUUCCUGUCAUGGCUCUACUUAUGAUGAACAGGCUGAAGGGGAGCUUACUUAUGCAGGAGUAAAUUUGGUGCCCUGUAGCGCCUCCCGCAGGUCAGCCUCAGUAUUGCCCCGAAAGGACCAUGUGGUUUAUUCUGAAGUGAUGUAUC